rnacentral:siRNA from 1 species
UUCUGAUGGUGUGCUUCCCGA